rnacentral:rRNA from 1 species
GAUGAACGCUGGCGGCGUGCCUAAUACAUGCAAGUCGAGCGAACGGACGAGAAGCUUGCUUCUCUGAUGUUAGCGGCGGACGGGUGAGUAACACGUGGAUCACCUACCUAUAAGACUGGUAUAACUUCGGGAAACCGGAGCUAAUACCGGAUAAUAUUUUGAACCGCAUGGUUCAAAAGUGAAAGACGGUCUUGCUGUCACUUCUAGAUGGAUCCGCGCUGCAUUAGCUAGUUGGUAAGGUAACGGCUUACCAAGGCAACGAUGCAUAGCCGACCUGAGAGGGUGAUCGGCCACACUGGAACUGAGACACGGUCCAGACUCCUACGGGAGGCAGCAGUAGGGAAUCUUCCGCAAUGGGCGAAAGCCUGACGGAGCAACGCCGCGUGAGUGAUGAAGGUCUUCGGAUCGUAAAACUCUGUUAUUAGGGAAGAACAUAUGUGUAAGUAACUGUGCACAUCUUGACGGUACCUAAUCAGAAAGCCACGGCUAACUACGUG